UGUGAUAAAUUAUUUAAUGAUUUUAAAUAUCUCGAAAAUAAGGGAGCUAAAUUUAUAUUAUUUUUUUUGUAGCAAUAAAAUUAUAAAUAUAGAUUUAGAAAUUAAAUGUUAAACGAACUUAUUAAUAUCUAGUUUUUUUAGAAAUAAAUUUAAUUUAGAUAUAAUUAUUUUAGUAAAUUAAAUUUUAUUUUAAUUUAUUAAUUUUUAUAUUAAAAAUUUAUGGGAUAAUCUAUAAAUUUAAGAUAAAAAUUUAAUUUUAAUUUUUAAUGUUAUAGAGAUAAUAUUUUUCUUUAAUUUUAAUAAUUUAAUAAUUUAAUAUUUAUAAAUUAAUAAUGAUUUAAAUUUAUAUUUUAUUUUUCUAUAAAAAUUUAUAUUUUAAUUAAUAAAAUAUAGAAAUAAUGAUUAGAUUAGUAAUAAAGUUAUAUUUUAUAAUGAUAUUUUGUAUUAUAUAAUUUAAAGGAAUUCGGCAAAUAUAUUAUUCACCUGUUUAUCAAAAACAUGUCCUGUUGAUUAUAAUUUUAGGUCGAUCUGCUCAAUGAAUUAUUUUAAAUAGCUGCAGUAUGUUGACUGUACAAAGGUAGCAUAAUAAAUUGUCUUUUAAUUGAAGAAUUGUAUGAAAGAAUUAAUGAAAUAAUAACUGUCUCUAAAUUAUUAAAUGAAUUUAAAUUUUUAGUUAAAAUUCUAAAAUUUAAUUAUGGGACGAUAAGACCCUAUAGAAUUUAAUUUAAUUUUUAAAUUUAUUUAUAAUUUUAAUAAAUAUAUUUAAGAUUAAAUUUGAUUGGGAGGAUUGGUAAAUUUAAUAAACUUUAUUUAAGAUUUAAUUUUGAUAUAAAGAUAAUUUUUUGAAUUAUAAAUUGUAAUUAAAAGAAUAAAUUACCUUAGGGAUAACAGCGUAAU
rnacentral:rRNA from 1 species